UACAGAGGGUGCGAGCGUUAAUCGGAAUUACUGGGCGUAAAGCGUGCGUAGACGGUUUUGUAAGUCGGAUGUGAAAUCCCCGGGCUCAACCUGGGAAUUGCAUUCGAGACUGCAAGGCUUGGGUGCGGAAGAGGGAAGCGGAAUUUCCGGUGUAGCGGUGAAAUGCGUAGAUAUCGGAAGGAACAUCAGUGGCGAACGCGGCUUCCUGGUCCAGCACCGACGUUCAGGCACGAAAGCGUGGGGAGCAAACAGG
rnacentral:rRNA from 1 species